rnacentral:misc_RNA from 1 species
GAAAAGUGCAUGAAAAUUUUCAUGGGAUUAUUGGAGAGAAGUGCUUCAAGAAAAUGUUUGAUGAGAAGUGUUGUUCAUUAACAAAGAUGAGAAGUGCAUUAACAAGAAGUAUUGAUGAGAAGUGCAUAAGCAAUGGAGAUUGGAGAGAAGUUUUCCAAGAUAAUCAACCAACAACUCUGCUAGAGAGAAGUGAUCCAACACAAGAAUACAAAAAAUAUAUCAAGGAAUUUUCCAUGAUGAACCCAUAUUGAAUUAAGGGAGGAGAUGUUGGAAUUAAU